AGUGAUGCAAUCAGCCCAAUUGAGGAUUCAUAUAUACGGUGGUGUUUUGGGGUGUUGUAGCAUUUCCAUACAUCGUGCAUCAACUACCAACUUUGGUACGGAGCUCAGAACAGGCAUUGGAUUCUACUUAGUGCCGUCGUCUUUGUUAUACCUGAAUCGCUGCUGAACUCUCCUACACAGACUGAAUCUGAGAAUGAAGCUUAUCAUUAUAACAUGUUGCCUUAUUGGAGCAGCUUUUGCUAACCCAAUUUUACACAACAUUUUGGUAUCAACUGAGUCUGAAUCAAACUCUGUAAGUAAUAUUUCCACCCUUCUCCCUGAACUUAAUUACCCUGAACCCUCAACCUCCCCAGAGGUGCUUGACUGUUUUUUACUACUUAAUGUAAAUGUUAAUGCAGUUGGAAUCGUUCCUCCUAAGUAGCUGCUUGCACAGUUGCUAUUUAGGAGCAACUGUGCUGAGGGGCAAAGUGGCUCCUGAUGUAAAAAUAAUAAAACUUUAUCUAUAGCUUAUUAAAUGCAAGAAAAGCAGCAAUAAUACCAGUUAAUCUUUGC